rnacentral:rRNA from 1 species
CAGCCGUAAACUAUGCGCGUUAGGUGUACUGGUGACCACGAGUCACCGGGGUGCCGAAGGGAAACCGUGAAACGUGCCGCCUGGGAAGUACGGUCGCAAGGCUGAAACUUAAAGGAAUUGGCGGGGGAGCACCACGACGGGUGGAGCCUGCGGUUUAAUUGGACUCAACGCCGGAAAUCUCACCGGAUAGGACAGACAUAUGAUAGUCGGGCUGAAGACUCUACUUGAUGAUCUGAGAGGAGGUGCAUGGCGUCAGUGACU